ACCAGCAGCCAAAUCACCCUGUAACUCACAAUGGACAGCCCAGCUGGAGCUCAGCAGGUGUGAGCCUGGUCAGUACCUGAUUGGGAGACUCCUGGGAAAAACUAAGGUAGCUGCUGGAA
rnacentral:rRNA from 1 species